rnacentral:rRNA from 1 species
UUUGACCUCAGAUCAGGCAGGGCUACCCGCUGAACUUAAGCAUAUCAAUAAGCGGAGGAAAAGAAACUAACAAGGAUUCCCCUAGUAACGGCGAGUGAAGAGGGAAGAGCUCAAAUUUGAAAUCUGGCGGCCUACGGUCGUCCGAGUUGUAAUCUAGAGAAGUGUUUUCCGCUCUGGACCGUGUACAAGUCCUUUGGAACAAGGCGUCAUAGAGGGUGAGAAUCCCGUCUACGACACGGACUACCAGUGCUCUGUGAUACACUCUCAACGAGUCGAGUUGUUUGGGAAUGCAGCUCAAAAUGGGUGGUAAAUUCCAUCUAAAGCUAAAUAUGGGCGAAAGACCGAUAGCGAACAAGUACCGUGAGGGAAAGAUGAAAAGCACUUUGGAAAGAGAGUUAAACAGUACGUGAAAUUGUUGAAAGGGAAACGCUUGAAGUCAGUCGCGUCUUCAGAAAUUCAGCCUGGCUUUCUGCCUUGCGUACUUUUCUGUUGGACGGGCCAGCAUCAGUUUUGGCUGCCAGAAAAAGGUGGGAGGAAGGUGGCACCUCCGGGUGUGUUAUAGCCUCCCAUCGUAUGUGGCGGUUGGGACUGAGGACUGCAGCAUGCCUUCAUUGGCCGGGGUUCGCCCACGUAACGUGCUUAGGAUGCUGGCGUAAUGGCUUUAAGCGACCCGUCUUGAAACACGGACCAAGGAGUCUAACAUGCCUGCGAGUAUUUGGGUGGUAAACCCAUAUGCGGAAUGAAAGUGAACAGUUGGGACUUCUGUCAUGGAAGGCACCGACGCCCGGACCAGACCUACUGUGACGGAUCCGAGGUAGAGCAUGUAUGUUGGGACCCGAAAGAUGGUGAACUAUGCCUGAGUAGGGUGAAGCCAGAGGAAACUCUGGUGGAGGCUCGUAGCGAUUCUGACGUGCAAAUCGAUCGUCGAACUUGGGUAUAGGGGCGAAAGACUAAUCGAAC